AUUGAACGCUGGCGGCAGGCCUAACACAUGCAAGUCGAACGGUAACAGGAAGCAGCUUGCUGCUUCGCUGACGAGUGGCGGACGGGUGAGUAAUGUCUGGGAAGCUGCCUGAUGGAGGGGGAUAACUACUGGAAACGGUAGCUAAUACCGCAUAAUGUCGCAAGACCAAAGAGGGGGACCUUCGGGCCUCUUGCCAUCGGAUGUGCCCAGAUGGGAUUAGCUUGUUGGUGGGGUAACGGCUCACCAAGGCGACGAUCCCUAGCUGGUCUGAGAGGAUGACCAGCCACACUGGAACUGAGACACGGUCCAGACUCCUACGGGAGGCAGCAGUGGGGAAUAUUGCACAAUGGGCGCAAACCUGAUGCAGCCAUGCCGCGUGUAUGAAGAAGGCCUUCGGGUUGUAAAGUACUUUCAGCGGGGAGGAAGGGAGUAAAGUUAAUACCUUUGCUCAUUGACGUUACCCGCAGAAGAAGCACCGGCUAACUCCGUG
rnacentral:rRNA from 1 species